UACUUAAGUAUCUAAGUAACGAAGCUGGCAGCGUAGCCAACAUGCAAAUCGUUUACGCCCCGCAGACAACAGACUGUUUUAUCGCUAAAGAUAUAAAUACCUACAUAUACCAAUAAUAUGCCGGUUUUAGAGGGCUUUUCUUUCACGAACAUUUUUAGGGUUCCGUAGCCAAAUGGCAAAAAACGGAACCCUUAUAGAUUCGUCAUGUCCGUCUGUCUGUCCGAUUCUGUCACAGCCACUUUUUUCCGAAACUAUAAAAGCUAUACUGUUCAAACUUGGUAAGUAGAUGUAUUCUAUAAACCGCAUUAUGAUGUUAUCACAAAAAUAGAAAAAAAACAAUAAAUUUUGGGGGUUCCCCAUACUUAGAACUGAAACUCAAAAAAUCUUUUUUCAUCAAACCCAUACGUGUGGGGUAUCUAUGGGUAGGUCUUUAAAAAUGAUAUUGAGGUUUCUAAUAUCAAAUUUUUCUAAACUGAAUAG